ensembl:snRNA U6 U6 spliceosomal RNA
GUGUUCACUUCAGUAGCACAUAUACUAAAAUUGGAAUUAUACAGAGAAGAAUAGCAUGGCCCCUGGGCAAGGAUGACAUGCAAAUUCAUGAAGCAUUCCAUAUUUUU